AGACCCGAAACCCGGUGAUCUAGCCAUGGGCAGGUUGAAGGUUGGGUAACACUAACUGGAGGACCGAACCGACUAAUGUUGAAAAAUUAGCGGAUGACCUGUGGCUGGGGGUGAAAGGCCAAUCAAACCGGGAGAUAGCUGGUUCUCCCCGAAAGCUAUUUAGGUAGCGCCUCGUGAAUUCAUCUCCGGGGGUAGAGCACUGUUUCGGCUAGGGGGCCAUCCCGGCUUACCAACCCGAUGCAAACUGCGAAUACCGGAGAAUGUUAUCACGGGAGACACACGGCGGGUGCUAACGUCCGUCGUGAAGAGGGAAACAACCCAGACCGCCAGCUAAGGUCCCAAAGUCAUGGUUAAGUGGGAAACGAUGUGGGAAGGCCCAGACAGCCAGGAUGUUGGCUUAGAAGCAGCCAUCAUUUAAAGAAAGCGUAAUAGCUCACUGGUCGAGUCGGCCUGCGCGGAAGAUGUAACGGGGCUAAACCAUGCACCGAAGCUGCGGCAGCGACACUCAGGUGUUGUUGGGUAGGGGAGCGUUCUGUAAGCCUGCGAAGGUGGCCUGUGAGGGUUGCUGGAGGUAUCAGAAGUGCGAAUGCUGACAUAAGUAACGAUAAAGCGGGUGAAAAGCCCGCUCGCCGGAAGACCAAGGGUUCCUGUCCAACGUUAAUCGGGGCAGGGUGAGUCGACCCCUAAGGCGAGGCCGAAAGGCGUAGUCGAUGGGAAACGGGUUAAUAUUCCCGUACUUGGUGUUACUGCGAAGGGGGGACGGAGAAGGCUAUGUUGGCCGGGCGACGGUUGUCCCGGUUUAAGCGUGUAGGUGUGUGUUCCAGGUAAAUCCGGUUCACUUUAACACUGAGGCGUGAUGACGAGGCACUACGGUGCUGAAGCAACAAAUGCCCUGCUUCCAGGAAAAGCCUCUAAGCAUCAGGUAACAUCAAAUCGUACCCCAAACCGACACAGGUGGUCAGGUAGAGAAUACCAAGGCGCUUGAGAGAACUCGGGUGAAGGAACUAGGCAAAAUGGUGCCGUAACUUCGGGAGAAGGCACGCUGACACGUAGGUGAAGUGAUUUACUCAUGGAGCUGAAGUCAGUCGAAGAUACCAGCUGGCUGCAACUGUUUAUUAAAAACACAGCACUGUGCAAACACGAAAGUGGACGUAUACGGUGUGACGCCUGCCCGGUGCCGGAAGGUUAAUUGAUGGGGUCAGCGCAAGCGAAGCUCCUGAUCGAAGCCCCGGUAAACGGCGGCCGUAACUAUAACGGUCCUAAGGUAGCGAAAUUCCUUGUCGGGUAAGUUCCGACCUGCACGAAUGGCGUAAUGAUGGCCAGGCUGUCUCCACCCGAGACUCAGUGAAAUUGAACUCGCUGUGAAGAUGCAGUGUACCCGCGGCAAGACGGAAAGACCCCGUGAACCUUUACUA
rnacentral:rRNA from 1 species